CAUGAGGUGGGAACCACCUACCUUGGCCCUGUAUGGCCAUUCAAACAUGGUUCAGUCAUGGCACAGGAUGCUUCCUCUUAGAGUGAAGGAGAUAGUUGAUGCAUCAUACCUAUGCUGGCUAGCCCUUGUAGAAACCUGAAAGUUCAAUCUGGCACUGGUGGGGGCCUUGAUGGAGGGUGGUGGCUGAGUACUCAUUCUUUUCAUCUCCCUGUUGGUGAGAUCACUAUCACACCCCUAUGCUUCUAUGCCUCGAUAGGCAUUCCAUUUGGGGGUAGACACAUGACUUUACUCAGGAUUCUGACUGUUAGGGAGUUUAUAGACUUAACAAGCAUUACCAUUGUGGCUGGCUAGACACACAUUCGUCUAGGGGAGAUUAGUGCCCGAUGGUGGAAAACCACUUGUGGGAGAACCCAGGCAACAUGGCACAGGUGGCACAUUCUUUUUUGCUGUUUGUUGUGGGUCAGUGCCUUUUCAGUGACCUCCGAGGGGUAGUAGACAUCCACCUGGUGUUCUUCCUCCGAGAUCUUCAUGCGGUAGAUUCUUAGGAGUAGGGGUACGUAUAUCUGCUGUGGACCUUAGACUUGCUAUCAUAUGGAGACCGAGAUCUUAAGGAAGCGGGCUCAUCCUCUAGCCUUGGUGCUUCGAGCACUUGGGGACCAUAGCUCCCAGACUGAGGGACCCUUAGGCAUUCUUCUUCCCUGUAGCCACAAGGUGGGGAGAUAAUUGAGUGAUCAGGGCUCGGUGCCAUCCUCCGGGGACCACCACUCAUUCUCUUUUGAACGAUCUCACCAAGGUCACUUGGAGACCAUUCCAUUGCCCCAUAUUUCCAGAUUCUGAAGGAUUCGCAUUGGCUAAACACUUAUCCAACAACCGAGUCCUCUUUCGAGGCAUUUGGGGCUACAUCUAGUAUUUGGGAGAAAAAGUAGUACCCCAGUGGUCGGAUAUCGAGUCAAGCUCCUCUCCCGGUCUUUCUCCACCCACUAUGCACUACCCAGAGAUCAUCCCAGUAGAUGAGAUUGAGCAUUUGGCCGAUGGAGUAUGGGAUGACUCAUUUCUUGACCAGGAUAGGGACUACACCUUCCUGGAGGA